UAAUACGGAGGGAGCUAGCGUUGUUCGGAAUUACUGGGCGUAAAGCGUACGUAGGCGGUUAUUCAAGUCAGAGGUGAAAGCCUGGAGCUCAACUCCAGAACUGCCUUUGAAACUAGAUAGCUAGAAUCUUGGAGAGGCGAGUGGAAUUCCGAGUGUAGAGGUGAAAUUCGUAGAUAUUCGGAAGAACACCAGUGGCGAAGGCGACUCGCUGGACAAGUAUUGACGCUGAGGUACGAAAGCGUGGGGAGCAAACAGGAUUAGAUACCCUGGUAGUCCACGCCGUAAACGAUGAUAACUAGCUGCCGGGGUUCUGAGAACUUCGGUGGCGCAGCUAACGCAUUAAGUUAUCCGCCUGGGGAGUACGGUCGCAAGAUUA
rnacentral:rRNA from 1 species